AAGAUCCUGGAGCAUUUGACAGUGCUUAUUUAAAUUCAACCGACAAAUUUUAAAUGGGAGUACGUGUUUAACAGUGUAUAACAUGCCCCUUCAUAAUUAUGGGGGAAGUUAAAAGCUGCUAGUAGUACACCCACCUGGGAGAUUCUCGGGUAUGAAUUUAGAGGGCCAUCGGUGUUUUGGGACUAA
rnacentral:other from 1 species